CGCUAGCGAUAGGCCUAACACAUGCAAGUCGAGGGGCAGCAUAGGGUAGCAAUACUUUGAUGGCGACCGGCGCACGGGUGAGUAACGCGUAUGCAACCUACCUAUAACAGGGGAAUAAGCCCGGAGAAAUUCGGACUAAUACCGCAUAAAACAGGGGCUCCGCAUGGUGAUAUUUGUUAAAGAUUUAUCGGUUAUAGAUGGGCAUGCGUUCCAUUAGCCAGUUGGUGAGGUAACGGCUCACCAAAGCAACGAUGGAUAGGGGUUCUGAGAGGUUUGUCCCCCACACUGGAACUGAGACACGGACCAGACUCCUACGGGAGGCAGCAGUGAGGAAUAUUGGUCAAUGGGCGAGAGCCUGAACCAGCCAAAUCGCGUGAAGGAAGACUGCCUUAUGGGUUGUAAACUUCUUUUAUACAGGAAUAAAAAGAUUACGUGUAACUUAUUGCAAGUACAGUACGAAUAAGCAUCGGCUAACUCCGUGCCAGCAGCCGCGGUAAUACGGAGGAUGCGAGCGUUAUCCGGAUUUAUUGGGUUUAAAGGGUGCGCAGGCGGGAACUUAAGUCAGCGGUGAAAUCUCGACGCUUAACGUCGAAACUGCCGUUGAAACUGGGUUUCUUGAGUAUAGAUGAAGUAGGCGGAAUUCGUUGUGUAGCGGUGACAUGCUUAGAUAUAACGAGGAACUCCGAUUGCGUAGGCAGCUUACUAAGCUAUAACUGACGCUGAAGCACGAAAGCGUGGGGAUCAAACAGGAUUAGAUACCCUGGUAGUCCACGCCGUAAACGAUGAUUACUAGUUGUAUGCGAUAUACCGUAUGUGACUAAGCGAAAGCGAUAAGUAAUCCACCUGGGGAGUACGCCGGCAACGGUGAAACUCAAAGGAAUUGACGGGGGCCC
rnacentral:rRNA from 1 species